UGGGUGUGGCACUCUCUAUCA
rnacentral:siRNA from 1 species